rnacentral:rRNA from 1 species
CACGUGCCAAAGGAUGAGCCCACGUCUGAUUAGCUAGUUGGUGGGGUAAAGGCCUACCAAGGCGACGAUCAGUAGCGGGUCUGAGAGGAUGAUCCGCCACACUGGGACUGAGACACGGCCCAGACUCCUACGGGAGGCAGCAGUGGGGAAUUUUGGACAAUGGAGGCAACCCUGAUCCAGCCAUUCCGCGUGAGUGAAGAAGGCCUUCGGGUUGUAAAGCUCUUUCAGCUGGAGUGAAACGGUUCGCUCUAACAUAGCGAGCUAAUGACGGUACCAGCAGAAGAAGCACCGGCUAACUACGUGCCAGCAGCCGCGGUAAUACGUAGGGUGCGAGCGUUAAUCGGAAUUACUGGGCGUAAAGCGUGCGCAGGCGGAUUGUUAAGCAAGACGUGAAAUCCCCGGGCUUAACCUGGGAAUGGCGUUUUGAACUGGCAGUCUAGAGUGCGUCAGAGGGGGGUGGAAUUCNACGUGUAGCAGUGAAAUGCGUAGAGAUGUGGAGGAACACCAAUGGCNGAAGGCAGCCCCCUGGGAUGACACUGACGCUCAUGUACGAAAGCGUGGGUAGCAAACAGGAUUAGAUACCCUGGUAGUCCACGCCCUAAACGAUGUCAACUGGUUGUUGGGGGAGUGAAAUCCCUUAGUAACGAAGCUAACGCGUGAAGUUGACCGCCUGGGGAGUACGGUCGCAAGAUUAAAACUCAAAGGAAUUGACGGGGACCCGCACAAGCGGUGGAUGAUGUGGAUUAAUUCGAUGCAACGCGAAAAACCUUACCUACCCUUGACAUGUCCAGAACCCUGAAGAGAUUUGGGGGUGCCCGAAAGGGAAUUGGAACACAGGUGCUGCAUGGCUGUCGUCAGCUCGUGUCGUGAGAUGUUGGGUUAAGUCCCGCAACGAGCGCAACCCUUAUCAUUAGUUGCUACGCAAGGGCACUCUAAUGAGACUGCCGGUGACAAACCGGAGGAAGGUGGGGAUGACGUCAAGUCCUCAUGGCCCUUAUGGGUAGGGCUUCACACGUCAUACAAUGGUCGGUACAGAGGGUUGCCAAGCCGCGAGGUGGAGCCAAUCCCAGAAAGCCGAUCGUAGUCCGGAUUGUUCUCUGCAACUCGAGAGCAUGAAGUCGGAAUCGCUAGUAAUCGCGGAUCAGCAUGUCGCGGUGAAUACGUUCCCGGGUCU